AUAUCGACGUACGUAACGAUUUAAAAAGAUGACCGGAAAAAUUCCGACAGGAUGCCGGUGAGACUCCGUGAUUCUCCGUGCCACGGACUCAACGGAGUAUGAAAGAACGAUCUUUACGUUGACCCGACGAGCGUGCACGUUCAAAAUUGCAAGAUUCACCGAAAUUAUGCCGAUUAGAAUAUCCGGUUUCCCAAUGCAGAGGAGAGGACCGUUAAGAUGGGGAAAACGGGGGGCUGGACGGAAUUAGAACAUUAAGCUAUAUCGCGGAGAAACAGCGACGAAGAUAGAUUUGUAGAAAGAGAGGGAGGGAGGGAGGGAGAGAGAAAGAGAGAGAGAGAGAGACACACACACAGAGGGUAUGCGUAAGACGUAAGAGCGAAGGCGAGAUAAGGCGAGAUGGAAAAUGGUAGAAUGGUAGAACGGUAGAACGAUAGGUGCGACCGUGGUCGGCUCGAGGAGUUCUAACCUUGCUCGGGGCUAGGAGGACCGAGGACGUAGAGACGGGCAGGAUUACGCAGGACGACGACAGUUCCUUGGGUUGAAUCGCGUCCCGAGUCCCGAGACGAGGCUAUACCGAAAGCCUCGUCUCUCCGAAGGCGAAGGCGAAGGCGUAGGCAGUCAACCUCCUCGAGUGUGUUUGCCGCCGCUGGUAUUUACCGAGUGAACAACGGUAGCCGUGUCUCUUGGCGCGCAUCUACACGAUCCACAGAUCACCACCUCCCAACAGACGGUGCCGUUUUCCAGGUAUUAUCGCUCUCGUACGAAAGAUGCGAAGCGAUCGAGAAAGGUUUCGAGCGAACGUUGAAUUUGAUAUCUUCAUCGAAGGACUCGUCGCCAGGCAACCGAGUCUGAAAUUGUGGAACGAAGGGGUUGGAUUAACGCGACCGAGCGAGGAGAUUUGGCAGAUUCGCUAAUUCCCUCCCGAAAUUUAUCGCAUUGCCAUUGGAAAAACAAAAACUUACCCACCGAAUUCCGGUCGCGCGGUGAUGAAUGGAGUGACGCGACGCGCCCGACGCGAUUAUACUCGUGCACGUGGAACGUCGAUAAAAAGGGAAAGAAAACAAAACCAAGGAUCGCUUCGCGAGUCACGGGCUCAACACCGAAUCGAAUAGAAGUUUAGGCGUUUAGCGAGAGAAUCACUAGCAAAAAAAAAGGAAAAGAAAAGGAUGAGUUUGCUCGGCGUUUUCGAUUCCUAGCGACGUCGAUCGACGCGGCGCAGGCACGAUUAAUAAGAAGUAACGAGCUUGAUCUUGUCAAAGUAUGCGUAAUAAGGCCGAUUAGUCGUGGCCUUAUUAUGAGAUUCUUCUCUCUCUCUCCUCGUGACCGCGCUGCUACACGGCUGGGUGGUCGACCACUCGCAGUUUCCGUGCAACGUCGGACUCGGACGCGGGAGGAGGGCAAAGAAGAGAGACUACCUAACGACUCGCUAACUAACAAAACAAACAAGAGGUAGCUAGUGCCCCUCUCAUCUCAUCUCACUGAUUAUAUACCCCGCGGGACCCCUAUACCCGACGAUGCUUCUCUCUCGCUCUCGUCCCUUCCCGUUCCCACUCCACUUGGUUUCUUCUCCGUCCUCUUCUCUUUUUCUCGGACUCGCUCGGUCUCCUCUCGUGAUCAAUUCGCGAUUCGCGAAAGGUUGACGUCGAUGAACGUUCACUCGCGUGGAAAGGUUCGCUAUGCGACAUAUGCGACGUACGCGACUUACCCCGAAAAAGAUUGACGUAGGUGGAAAAAGCCUUUCGAGUCACGUACCUCUCGCGACUACGUUCUAAAUUUACUUGCUGAAUCAACUUUAAUCGAUUUAUAUUUUGCAACAAAAUUUUAUAAAUGGAAUAAGAUUACAUUUAUAUAUACUUUCGAUUCGAAUUGUAGAUCGUCUAACAACUAAGUCUAAAGUAUACUUUGCGAUAUAUCAAUCGUAUUUAUAUGUGUUAUAAAAAGGUGGGACGCGCAGCGUUGUUUCGUCAACUUCGAAACGAACGAACGAACGCACCAGAUAACGCUGGCGGCUUGUUAUCGGAAUCCUUUAGCGCUUUAGCCAGUUUAGCCUUAGCCGGAUGGCCCCUUCCCGAUGGUUCCCACUGGCUGCGUAGUCGUCGGUGGAGCUCUUAUCUCGGAUAAAUUAUCGAGAAAUUCUCGGAUCCGGGUCCUUAAGCUUAAGGCCCGGGUUGGGCCCUGGGUUCAGAGAGAGAGAUGAUGGAUCAGCUCUUUCCUCGAGCCCUUCUUUCGACUCAUCCUUUUUCCCUCGUUCUUGAGACGGCCGUCAAACUCUUGGAGCAGGGCGAACAGAGGUGAGGAACGAAGGAGGGAGAGAAAAGAGAGAAACGGAAACACGAAACUGCCGGAUUACCUACCACCAUGGGGCCGUACGAUCUUCUCUGUCAAUGGCGUAGCACCGCCGAUUAUCGAUUCGAUUCUUUGGGGCGAGAGAUUCUAACAGACUCUUGCCUCUGAUUGUUUCUUGCAUUUUCGAAUUGGACAAUUUUUUAAUUUCAGAAUUUAUGAAUUUGUGUUUUCAUGUACAUUUUGAUUUUUUAGUUUUAUUAUUUAACACAAAAUGUUUCGUUAGCAAUCGAUCUUACAAUCGUGAAGAAAAGACACAUAAAUAAAAAAUAAAAAAAUCCAAGAAUUUUUUUUAAUUAAUCCAUGAAUUCUUGGCGUGGUUCUAAUAAAAACAGAGCUCACAAAUUCGAGAAUUUUAUGAGAACAAAUUGUAAUUUCUUUUUUAUCCGCUAGAAAUCUCGAGUCUAAAACUCGUUGCUUUUCGCGUAAACUUGACACAUGUUACAGGAAUAACGCGAAAAGGGACGUGGUGGAAGGGGCGAGACAGGACAAUGCGUGGCUAGGACUGCAAGGCCCUACGGGUCCAUGGUGCACGGCUCCGUGGUUUCGUGUUCGUGGGGCGCGAUGUUUAUCGGCUCUUUCGAUGUAAAUUAUGGCCAUACGGUAUAGAGUUCGCUACACCACGGCGCACACAAAAGUAUUCGGGCUUCGAGUUCAGGGUCGGAUCUUUGCGAUGGGUCUUAACCCAUCGGCCCCAUCGCCAAGAUCCGAUUUUUCAUUUAAAACUUGAUACUUUUCAAUGAGCUCUUCUCGAAAGUAUACGAAAUGCAAAAUAGGUAAACUAUAUCGAUUCAAAACUGACAAAGAUCGAUAAAGAGAGCUGCGUGAAACGACGUUUCAACAUUUAUAUAGUUGAAUUUGCAAACAAAUGUUUAGAUAAAUUUGAAAAUCCACGACAAGACGAUCGAUUUUUCAAAACUCGUUUGCACACGCGCAACCGCAACGUGUAUUCAUAUAUUGUGAAUCAUCUUGUUUUUUGGUCUGAAGCGUCGCGUUGUUUCGUCCAUCUCCUUUACCUUCCCGUUCUCCUCUCUCUUUCUCGUUCUGCUUUUCUCGCACUUUCUUUCUCCUUCUCAAGCAACUUGCUUUCUCUAAGAUGGAAUGCCAUUGACUCCAUGCAUAUCUGGCAACAAGGUUCCUCUCGACCCACCUCAUA